CAGAGGCGCCGCUACAGUGUUCAAACCGACACGCCGUGACCCGGAUGGCUCUGCUAACAUUUGUUCUUAACAAAGUGAAGACCAUGACCUGUGCUCAACCUUGUGUGCCUCCGAAGAUAUCACAUAACAGGGUGCUGGGAAACUGCUGAGAAAACAGACCACAGAGUUAAUCAGCGGCAACCAUAGUGAUGAUUCAAGAUGGCUGCAGUCAGGUCAAGUUAAGCCCAUGCAAAUGGCUCGGUGGCAAGAAGGAAAAAGAACAGAGAACCAAGGGCUGAGGCCAGGGAAAUUCUUCAUGCUACAAGAUGACCCAUUCAACAAAGAACCUGCUCUAACGAGGCUUAAAGAAACCUGCUCACCCAGAAACUUGGCAUUUUAGUACUGAAAGACAGAAAGAGAUAGAGAUAGAUAUACAAGUGAUGGAUGAUAGACUGACACACAUAUAGAUGUAGAUUUAGAUGUAUGCCUAUAUAGAUGUAGAAUAGUGGCAUUAACUCCAAAUAAUUUUUAGUUCCUCAAAACCAACAAGAAAAGAAUAACUGUGAUUUUUAGUUCUUUGGUAUAUAAACACCUGAAUUACUGAAACAUCAACGAUUGCAUUUACAAUUAAAGCUUCAUUCAUCAUUGCAUGGCACAAUAAAUCAUACCAUGUGUCAUCAUUGUAAUGUCGUAAUUUCUAGCUGACUGCAGCUUUAAACGUGUUCUCAUAACAUGUCUGGCUUCAGUGGAUUCCCCAGACUGUCUUCGUCUUGAAGCCUGGUCUAUAGCAUAUGCAUCUUUGUAGCCCUCAGCAGGCAGAACCAAAGCUUUGUAGGACAGGAAAGCACAAUAAAUAUAUGUUAAAUGGCUAAAAGGAAGAAAGCAAGGAUUUUACUAACAAAGGAAAGAAUAAAAGGGAUCUCAAAUGACCCUCCUCAGGACUUUUGCCUUAGCGGCUUGCAUGCAAAUAACUAGACCCUGUCAAGAAAUCAAGGGCACAUUUAAAAAUCAAAUGAGAUCCCUUUUUUAUUGGAAAGGCUUGGAUAUAGAUCCAGGAUCUGCAGAUACAUGAAAGACGGUCCAUGUCAUUAUCAGCCAGAUCCUGAAAAUAUGGAUGGCAAACUCCUCAGUUCCAUACAUAGCAAAGGCA